rnacentral:rRNA from 1 species
GACGGGUGAGUAAUGCCUAGGAAUCUGCCUAGUAGUGGGGAUAACUUGCCGAAAGGUAAGCUAAUACCGCAUACGUCCUACGGGAGAAAGCAGGGGAGCCUUCGGGUCCUUGCGCUAUUAGAUGAGCCUAGGUCGGAUUAGCUAGUUGGUAGGGUAAAGGCCUACCAAGGCGACGAUCCGUAGCUGGUCUGAGAGGAUGAUCAGCCACACCGGGACUGAGACACGGCCCGGACUCCUACGGGAGGCAGCAGUGGGGAAUAUUGGACAAUGGGGGAAACCCUGAUCCAGCCAUGCCGCGUGUGUGAAGAAGGUCUUCGGAUUGUAAAGCACUUUAAGUUGGGAGGAAGAGCUCCGGGUUAAUACCCUGUGAGUUUUGACGUUACCAACAGAAUAAGCACCGGCUAACUUCGUGCCAGCAGCCGCGGUAAUACGAAGGGUGCGAGCGUUAAUCGGAAUUACUGGGCGUAAAGGGCGCGCAGGCGGUUUGUCAAGUCAGCUGUUAAAAAUGGGGGCUUAACCCUCAUAUGCUGUUGAAACUGGCAGACUGGAGUGCUGUAGAGGCAAGUGGAAUUCCCAGUGUAGCGGUGAAAUGCGUAGAUAUUGGGAAGAACACCGGUGGCGAAGGCGACUUGCUGGGCAGCAACUGACGCUGAGGCGCGAAAGCCAGGGGAGCAAACGGGAUUAGAUACCCCGGUAGUCCUGGCCGUAAACGAUGAAUGCUAGGUGUGGGUGUAGAGAUACAUCCGUGCCGGAGCUAACGCGAUAAGCAUUCCGCCUGGGGAGUACGGUCGCAAGAUUGAAACUCAAAGGAUUGACGGGGGCCCGCACAA